rnacentral:rRNA from 1 species
GAACCGUCCAAACGUUAUUCGGAAUCACUGGGCUUAAAGGGUACGUAGGCGGCUUGGGAAAGUUGGGGUGUGAAAUCCCUCGGCUCAACCGAGGAACUGCACUCAAAACUGCCAGGCUUGAGGGAGACAGAGGUAAGCGGAACUCAGGGUGGAGCGGUGGAAUGCGUUGAUAUCCUGGGGAACACCAGUUGCGAAGGCGGCUUACUGGGUCUCUUCUGACGCUGAGGUACGAAAGCUAGGGGAGCGAACGGGAUUAGAUACCCCGGUAGUCCUAGCUGUAAACGUUGAGCACUGGAUCGGAGGAUUUCGGUUUUCCGGUCGUAGCGAAAGUGUUAAGUGCUCCGCCUGGGGAGUAUGGUCGCAAAGGCUG